UACAGAGGUGGCAAGCGUUGUUCGGAAUUACUGGGCGUAAAGGGCGAGUAGGUGGCCAUCUAAGUCAGACGUGAAAUCCCCCCGGCUUAACCUGGGAACUGCGUCCGAUACUGGACGGCUAGAGUUUGGGAGAGGGAUGCAGAAUUCCAGGUGUAGCGGUGAAAUGCGUAGAUAUCUGGAGGAAUACCGGUGGCGAAGGCGGGUCUCUGGGCCGAUACUGACGCUGAGGAGCGAAAGCGUGGGGAGCGAACAGG
rnacentral:rRNA from 1 species